rnacentral:tRNA from 1 species
GGAUAAGUAGCCAUCGGUAAAGCGGACUAUUUGCUACGUAGUUGAAUGCAAAUUCUUAUGGGUUCGAUUCCCAUCUUAUCCG